CCACAGAUGGAGCUCAGAGCCUGGGGAGGCACUUUCCUGAAGGAUCCCACCCAGGAACAGAAGCAGGAACCACAUUUGGCCCAGGAGAGCUGAGGUUGUCCCACAGAAAUGUCCAAGAUGGAGCUCAGAGCCUGGGGAGGCACUUUCCUGGAAGAUCCCACCCAGGAAGAGAAGCAGGAACCACAUUUGGCCCAGGAGAGCUGAGGUUGUCCCACAGAAAUGUCCAAGGAACUCAAUAAAGAGUGGGUAAUGUGGAGUCGCCGCUGAGGUGGAGUCACGGUGAGGAGGAGGAAAUGAAUGGAAUUACCA